GUUUUUUUCAUAAUAACAAUAAUACAUCCAUUCUAAAUGUGGUUAAUAAAUUAUUUGUAAAUAACCGAGUAUGUCAAACUGAAAUGUAAAUAUUAGAUUUCUUUAUGUAUACGUUUGUCUUGAUUUGUUUGAAGGAGGAUGGAGGAACUGGUUUGUGCUACAAUUAAAGUUAGUUCUGAUUUCCAAGUCAGUUGAUUAGUUUUCUUACUAUGUAAUUUUUUUUUUUAAUAUAUCAGCACAACUGGUAUCUAAUUGUUUGAAAAAUGGAGGGUUGAGUUAUGUAUUGGGUUGCAAAAAUGAGC